rnacentral:sRNA from 1 species
CGGCCCACAAGCUGCUUAAGGAGAUGGUGCUGCUGGAGCGGCUGCGGCACCCCAACGUGCUGCAGCUCUAUGGCUACUGCUACCAGGACAGCGAGGACAUCCCAGACACCCUGACCACCAUCACGGAGCUGGGCGCCCCUGUAGAAAUGAUCCAGCUGCUGCAAACUUCCUGGGAAGAUCGAUUCCGAAUCUGCCUGAGCCUGGGCCGCCUCCUCCACCACCUGGCCCACUCCCCACUGGGCUCCGUCACUCUGCUGGACUUCCGCCCUCGGCAGUUUGUGCUGGUGGAUGGGGAGCUCAAAGUAACGGACCUGGAUGACGCACGUGUGGAGGAGACGCCGUGUGCAGGCAGCACCGACUGCAUACUCGAGUUUCCGGCCAGGAACUUCACCCUGCCCUGCUCAGCCCAGGGCUGGUGCGAGGGCAUGAACGAGAAGCGGAAUCUCUAUAAUGCCUACAGGUGACCUCCACCCCCGACUCAGGAACUCCAUCGAAGGAGAAUGGGCCAGGAGGGCAUGGCAGGAAGAGAGCCAACGUGGAGGCCAGCUGGGCAGGGAGACUCAGCCUUGACCAGAGCAAGGGAAGGCUUCUACCCUGUCCAGAAGGGAACAUUCAGGCUUCUGAUGGAGAGGCUAAAAAUAGACAGCUCCAAGGAGAAUCCGUGUUAGGGGGUGGCAGCUGGAGGCUUCUUAA